rnacentral:rRNA from 1 species
AGAGUUUGAUCCUGGCUCAGAGUGAACGCUGGCGGCAUGGUUAAGACAUGCAAGUCGAACGAGAAGCAGAACUUCGGUUUUGUGGACAGUGGCGAACGGGUGCGUAACACGUGAGCAACCUGCCCCUAAGUACGGAAUAGCCCACCGAAAGGUGGAUUAAUACCGCAUGUGUCCCUCCUUCGCAUGGAGGAGUGGAUAAAGCUUGUAAUGGCGCUUAGGGAUGGGCUCGCGGCCUAUCAGCUUGUUGGUGAGGUAAAGGCUCACCAAGGCUAAGACGGGUAGCUGGUCUGAGAGGAUGAUCAGCCACACCGGGACUGAGACACGGCCCGGACACCUACGGGUGGCAGCAGUUUCGAAUCAUUCACAAUGGGCGAAAGCCUGAUGAUGCAAUGCCGCGUGGAGGAUGACGGCCCUAGGGUUGUAAACUCCUGUCAUUAGGGAACAACAAGUAGGUUCAUAGCCUACCCUGAGUUAACCUAAAGAGGAAGAGGUGGCUAACUCCGUGCCAGCAGCCGCGGUAAUACGGAGACCUCGAGCGUUACUCGGAUUUACUGGGCGUAAAGGGUGAGCAGGCGGCCAGGUGUGUCAGGUGUGAAAUCCCGGGGCUUAACCCCGGAACUGCGCCUGAAACUACCUGGCUAGAGUCUCGGAGAGGACAGUGGAAUUCCAGGUGUAGCGGUGAAAUGCGUAGAUAUCUAGAGGAACACCAGUGGCGAAAGCGACUGUCUGACGAGUACUGACGCUCAAUCACGAAAGCGUGGGUAGCGAAAGGGAUUAGAUACCCCUGUAGUCCACGCCGUAAACGUUGUGCACUAAGUUUCGGAGGAUUCGACCCCUUCGGAGCUCAAGCUAACGCGUUAAGUGCACCGCCUGAGGACUACGGCCGCAAGGCUAAAACUCAAAGGAAUUGACGA